CUCUCACCCUGUCUGGCUUCCAGACACACUUCGCGUUCACACACACUCCUGUCUGCACAGACGGAGGAGAGGCAGACAGGACAACAGAGACAAAGAGUGGGAGACGGAGAAACACUGAGAACGAGGGGGACGGCGACAACUGUGAAGUUCAACUGGACAGUGAACAUGAGACAGGGGAGAGGAGUAAAAAAAAAAAAAAAAAAGUGUUUUCUCAGUCUUCCACAGAGAGAGACACUCCACAGCAAUUCUUGCAACCUGUUGAUCAGGAAAGACGCUCACAUUGACUGAGAGUAAUGUGUGCCUGCUGUUCAAAUGUACUGUAAUAUUGCCACUUGAAUAUUGCCCUGAUCUGAGGUCCGCCACUGUGGACCGGCUCCAUUACAAAGGUCAGACGUAAAUAGUUCCUUUGAAUGGGAUGGCUUAAUUUCUGUCUAUCUGUCUGUCUGUCUGUCUGUUUGUCUGUUGUAUUGAAGGAUCAUAUCCCCACCCAUCUGAAUGACUAAAUGCACCAGUGUUUUUCCUUUACCUGUUUGUCUGCCUUUUGCUUUGCAACUGUCUGCUUACAGCAUGUAUGUCGUCCGUCUACCCAUGUGUGUCCUCUGUCUGUCUCCAUGUCCAUCAGUCUGUGUGCCUCUCUGCGGGGUGUUGCUGGCACCUCAGAGUGGGAAUAGAGGUCAUAAAAAGUUUCAGAAAAGCAGCCAAGAGAUGUAAUGGUAGUGGCAAGCGAGGCCGGAGGCGCUCAAACAUUCCUCUCAUUGUUCAGAGGCCCUGUAAGUCCGUGAGCUCCCAAACCUCCAUGAAAGGAAGGGAAUCUAGCAGCUACUGUAGCUAACCCAGUCUCAGCCAGAGUUCAGGGCCGGCUGUCUCCGUCUUCCUGUCCGCCGUCCUGUCAGGUUUCGCCUCUGGGAGUGUUGGCCAUACAGGGCAGUGAAAGGCAAAAAAAAAAAGGAGCUGAAGGAGCGCGACAUGUGGCUGAAGCCCAAAGUGGAGACAAGAUAAUAAUGAGUAAUUUUGGCCCAGCUUUAGAUAACCUCUGCACCUGAGGACAUGGGAAGGAGGGGAGACGGGCGGAGGUGUUGUUGUUCUUCCUUUCUCAGUGAGGAAUACCGACCACAGAAGGCCAAAAUGGAUAGAUGGAUGAAUGGAUGGUGGAAUAGAUCAGGGGGAAAGGAGGGCAGAAGGAGCGGAGGGAGGAGAGAAGGUGGGGAUCUAACACUCCAGCUUUGGCUUUGGUGGGGUGGCUGGGUGGGUGUGCCCGGCAGCAAUCUGUAGGAAUGGGCCCGGGCUCAGGAAACCGUGGCGUAGUGGAAUAAAAGUGUGUGCGUGUGUGUGUCUGUGUGUGUGUGUGUGUGUGUGUGUGUGUAGCCUCUGUGGUGUUUCUGAAUCAAUUUGUGCAUGUGUGUUUCAGUGGCAGCAGGGCGGCUGUACACUAAGUACAGGGCUGGUGGUGGUAAGGGUGUUUGGCAACAGAUCAGGCCAUGUAUAGGGUUACACACAUUGGGAGCGGACCACAGACUUGGGCUGGGCUCUUCACUGCUGAGGCUAACUUUACAGCCCAAAAAAACUUUGAGCUUUUCUCUUUUUUCUUUUUCUUUUUUUUUUUUAUCUGGAGCUGAAAAUACUUUUUUUAUUCUCAGCCUAAUGUCCCACAUGUGGUGCGUUCCAUUGAUUCCAGACCAGCCAAUACACGUUCCCCAUUUGAUUCAGGAACACUGCAACAGAGAAGACGGCCCAUAGUGGAGCACAACUCCUUGUCUGAAUGUCACUGAAUGUCACGGCCUCAGCAAUAAUUACGCCCUCACACGCAACAUGAAACAAAUACAAUCUCAGUCACAUGCUCGCACAUACCCAGACACACACUCCGUCUGGUAGCAAGUGCACCAGGGUGUGGUGCUACGUAAGGUGUGUGGGUUCAAAGAUCUAGUUAUAAGUCAGUGGGAUGUGCUUUGCAACUUCUCUGCAGUUUUUCAAGUGUAUUGCUAAUUCUGAGCUAUGGGUUGCAUCCAUCCGAUAGAUUUUAGUGAAAGACUUUGGUUAUCUGCGCCUCCACUUGAUUGGUCAGAUUGAAGACUGAAAACACUGUUUUGGGCGAAAAAAAGUUGCAUAGUUUCUGCUUCCUAUCAGGGCCAGUGUUUCUUAAGAGGUGUAAUGGAUACGACAAAGCAAACGUGGCAUAUUUAAACUAUUGUUAUUGUAACCCUUGUGCUCCAGUGUUGACAUAAUGUUUUUGAACCUUUAGACGUGGACAAAUUGAUUUCACACGAGGCGGAGGUUGGACACAAACUACCUCCUGUAAAAUUCUCUGAUGCAAUGGAAAGAUACAAACAUUCACACAUAUUUCAAUUCAAUGCAUAACUAUUAAUGGAGUGCACAAUGGCAAUGUACAGGCAGCCUGUGGGUUGGCCUGCUCACUGUUUGCUUUGUGAAGCGGUUCACGGCCUGGAGGUGUGGAUGAUGUCAGAUAUGUAUUUGUACUAUCCCUGGUUUAUGAAACAGAGUGAGAACGCACAGGCCGCCUUCGCCCGGCAGCCCACUGGCAUAACUGUGUUUGUUUAUUGAUAGUGAGCAUAUUUUGUGCAUAGAUGCAGAUUGUGUCUGGCCUGUGUGCACUUCUUAAUGCAUCUGUGUGUGCGUGCGUGCGCAUGCACACACACACACACACACACACACACACACACACACACACACACACACACACAGAAGGGCACGGGGGGAGAGAGAAUCUGUGUUGAAACAACAAGGGGUUGAGAUCCAGCUGUCUCAACAGCGGCUUUUCCACUUAACUGUGUGCCCUUGUGAAAACGGCAAAGUCAAUUCUGUACUCGGGCUGAAGGGGAGAGAGAAAACAGCCCAGUGGCCACGUCUACAUUUGGGCCUCUGUAGGUUGUGUGUAGAAAUAUAACUAUCGUAGAAUACACACACAUAGUGUAAACUGUACACCGUAAAACCAUCAAAGCACCCACACGCAAGGCCGUGAGCCACGAAGACGCUCUCUAAAAGCUUACUUUGACUUUACGAGGGUCCAUCUGCUGCCGAUUGUCACUCAAUGAUACUAAUUUUCCUAUUCUACGCCUCCAACAGGAUGCAACAUGCUGGCACAAUCAUGAGCUGCCAACGAGCAGCCUAUAUGGCAGAACCAUAUGAUUAUUUCUAACCAUAAUAAACAUCCAGUUUGUGAAGAGUGUAACAACAGGAGGGCCUCGUUUCUUUAAAAAAACAAACAAAUAAAAAACAAGACAGGCCAAAUGCAAAAGUGAGACAUUGUGAGAUCCUCACAGUGAGUGCUUGAGAUGAGGUGUUGGACUGGACAGCGUGCGUCAACCAAAUGCCGUCAUUACAGGGGAAGGGAAGGAAUGAGCUCAUGGACAUUAACGGCUGCGGGUUUGACGGGGGGAACGCAAAGGGAAAGAGAGAAACCGAUGGAAAAGAUGAAAAGGCAGAGAAAAUAGCACACAAGACGAGCUACUGCCAGAUGAAAGGGUGGCGGGAUCGAGGGUUUUAGGUUGAUGGAGGAGAGGAGUUAAAAAGAGGUUAGCGUGCUGUCUUUGAUGGGUGCUGGGACCUUAACUGACCUUAUUUUCUUGUGACAGCAGUAUCAUUGUGACCAUAUGGAGAGAUCAUUUUGUUUAGUAAAACAAAAUAGAAUUCAUGGAGAAGCUUGUAAAUAUUCCGCUGAUAACCUGUUCCCAAAGUUGAUCUGAGCCGGGCCUGAAAAAUAUUUCUUCUGAUGUACUGUAAUUUAAUACAUGAGAGAGUAACUUCUCGUACAGUAUUAUAUAUAAAAAAGGGCUAACAGAGGAGGAACCCACAAGAAUGAGAGAAAGAACAGUGGCCUUCAGGAAACUAGAAAGCGUCUGCACGUGAAACAGUUUGUUACUUUUAAUUCCGUGUGAGUUUUACUUUCAGAAUGCGCAUGUCAAAUGUCAAUAAUGGAACUUUCUUAAAGAUGUGGCAUGGAGUAAGAGGCUGGGCUUUGUACUAUAUCGGGGGAAGCUCCAUCCAAACUGUCAGACCAGCAGAUCUGUAUGGACAAUGAUACAAGCAUUUGUGAUGGUGCCCAAGUGCACAGUGUCCCUGGCGCAGCUCUCCGACAGGCCCACGGUGACAACAGACAGCCGGCUAAAACCUAUUUAGAGUCUGGAGUUCCCCAAAAGUGUCCCGCUGAGUCAUACCUUGUCCAUGGCGGAAAAAUUCAUGCUGCUGAAACUAAAGAGACUUGAAGAGGGAUGGCAAAUUAGCAGCAUUCAGUGUGGAUCUAGAACUUGGCAGGACAGUCAGUUAUUUAGAUGCGUCCUGUCCUGACAGGUAAAAUUCAACAACAAGUGAUUCAGAGGGACAUGCUCUCCUCCAUGAGUGCAUCUGCUUGUGCUUUUAUUUAAUUUUUUUUGUGUUGUUAUCAGAUAUUACGUGACGGGUGGUAAUAACAGGCAAUAACGUAUGAAUGCAGUAUCGCUUUCUUUUACUACAUCAUGAAAAUUCCUAACAAUUUCUUGAGAUAAUUAGCUGUGGCGUAGCGGCAGAGGAAACACAGCCCAGUGUUCUCUGGCUUGUUUUUUUCCACACAAGGGGCACACAGAGGCAGGAGCAGAACAGAGCCGGGCGAGCGUCUGUGAAGGGAGUGCCACUUGACUGCCCUCUUCCUUAUAACCUAAUUCCUCAUUCUGCCAUUGAAAAUCUAUUUUUAUAAGAGGCCACGUGAAGUCUGGGAGUGGACGAGAAACCGCACACAUGGACUUGCACACAGGGCUGGGAAAGCACAGCAACUAUGACCUGUGGACGACAAAGAUGCGGCACAUCAGACGACUGUGACGGUGCACACGGGCGGUAUAGAUGUGGGAUGGAGGCAGUGACAAGGUGCAGCCAUUAAGCUUUGGAGCUGACAUUAAUGCAGGAGGUCUAUUGUGGUCUUCAUUAUUUGUGUGUGCGUACGCUUCGAAGUCUUCCUGCCACCGCAAGCUGUUUAGUUGUCUCUGUUGACCAGGGGAAUUCCUGGCAGGGUG